rnacentral:rRNA from 1 species
GACGAACGCUGGCGGCGUGCUUAACACAUGCAAGUCGAACGGAAAGGCCCUGCUUUUGUGGGGUGCUCGAAUGGCGAACGGGUGAGUAACACGUGAGUAACCUGCCCCUGACUUUGGGAUAACUUCAGGAAACUGGGGCUAAUACCGGAUAGGAGCUCCUGCUGCAUGGUGGGGGUUGGAAAGUUUCGGCGGUUGGGGAUGGACUCGCGGCUUAUCAGCUUGUUGGUGGGGUAGUGGCUUACCAAGGCUUUGACGGGUAGCCGGCCUGAGAGGGUGACCGGCCACAUUGGGACUGAGAUACGGCCCAGACUCCUACGGGAGGCAGCAGUGGGGAAUAUUGCACAAUGGGCGGAAGCCUGAUGCAGCAACGCCGCGUGCGGGAUGACGGCCUUCGGGUUGUAAACCGCUUUCGCCUGUGACGAAGCGUGAGUGACGGUAAUGGGUAAAGAAGCACCGGCUAACUACGUG